rnacentral:lncRNA from 1 species
AGUGAGUAAACAAACACCAUUUUAAAUCAGCUAAAGCCGAGUAAAAGGAGACAAUUAAAAUAUCCCAUCAUUUUAAGUAUUUUACAAUUUGAAAAUUCAUCCCAACCCAUGCAAUCGGUUGUAUUUCAUUUAAUUUCUCAUUAGGGCUUAUGACUUUCAUAAACAGUUGGCUCAUGCCAUCAAAUAUACUCGAUGACACCUUGAUCAGAGGCGUACACUCGAACCCGCCAAAGCUGUUAAAAAUUUCGUAUACACGUAAAACAUAUUUUUAGUUUGAGAAAACACAGCCGUUCCUUAGCGUUGGCUGAGUUCCCCUUCACGUGGUGGUUUGGCGUGAAGUGAACCCUAAGCUUUACCCUAGGAGAUACCCUACGUGCCUCUCCGUUCGAGGUAAGAAUAUAAUGGGGUUUACCGUGCCCCUCUAAA